rnacentral:rRNA from 1 species
GACGAACGCUGGCGGCGUGCUUAACACAUGCAAGUCGAACGGUGAAGGGAUCAGCUUGCUGGUUCUGGAUGAGUGGCGGACGGGUGAGUAACACGUGAGUAACCUGCCCCCUUCUGCUGGAUAACCGCAUGAAAGUGUGGCUAAUACGGGAUAUUCUGCGCCUGCUGCAUGGUGGGUGUGGGAAAGAUAUUGUUUCGGCGGGGGAUGGGCUCGCGGCCUCUCAGCUUGGUGGUGGGGUGAUGGCCUACCAAGGCGGUGACGGGUAGCCGGCCUGAGAGGGGGGACGGUCACAGUGGGACUGAGACACGGCCCUGACUCCUACGCGAGGCAGCAGUGGGGAAUAGUGCACGAGGGGCGCAAGCCUGAUGCAGCGACGCCGCGUGAGGGAUGGAGGUCUUCGGGUUGUGAACCUCUUUCGCCAGUGAAGUAGGCCUGUCCCUUGUCGGUGGGUUGACGGUAGCUGGAUAAGAAGCGCCGCCUACCUACGU